UCAGAUUGACAAAUGUAAAACAAAAUGUGCAGUAUUUUGAGAUAGUGGGGAAAAUUCAUUUUUUACAUAGAAAUGCUGAGAACUCAAAUUGUUACAGUGCUAAUGGAGGGUAAUUUGGCAAAAUCUUUCAAAAUGCAAAAUGUACCAACUUGCAAGUAUUUUAGCAAACCACAACAACAAAAUAAGUUAAAAAUGCCAUCUGUCUGAGAGAAAUUAGAAUGGAAGUUCCAAAACACCUUUCUGUAAAAUGCAGCCAAAUUAAAAUGGAGAGGGAAAUUCAGAGCCUCCGUGCUUAUAUUAGAAAAGGAGAAAGACGUAUCAAAAUUUAAGAAGUUUUGGAAAAGAACAGCAGAAGAAACCUAGGCGCUCUCCCUCUCCCUCUCCCUGUCCCUGUCCCUCUCCCUCUCCCCAUGGUUUCCCUCUCCCUCUCUUUCCACGGUCUCCCUCUCAUGCCGAGCCGAAGCUGGACUAUACUGCUGCCAUCUCGGCUCACUGCAACCUCCCUGCCUGAUUCUCCUGCCUCAGCCUGCGGAGUGCCUGCAAUUGCAGGUGCGCGCCGCCACGCCUGACUGGUUUUCGUAUUUUUUUGGUGGAGACGGGGUUUCGCUGUGAUGGCCAGGCUGGUCUCCAGCUCCUAACCGCGAGUGGUCCGCCAGCCUCGGACUCCCGAGGUGCCGGGAUUGCAGACGGAGUCUGGUUCUCUCAGUGCUCAAUGGCGCCCAGGCUGGAGCGCAGUGGCGUGAUCUCGGCUCGCUACAACCUCCACCUCCCAGCCGCCUGCCUUGGCCUCCCAAAGUGCCGAGAUUGCAGCCUCUGCCAGGCCGCCACCCCGUCUGGGAAGUGAGGAGCGUCUCUGCCUGGCCGCCCAUCGUCUGGGACGUGAGGAGUCCCUCUGCCUGGCUGCCCAGUCUGGAAAGUGAGGAGCGUCUCUGCCCAGCCGCCAUCCCAUCUCGGAAGUGAGGAGCGCCUCUUCCCGGCCGCCAUCACAUCUAGGAAGUGAGGAGCGUCUCUGCCCGGCCGCCCAUCGUCUGGGAUGUGGGGAGUGCCUCUGCCCCGCCGCCCCGUCUGGGAUGUGAGGAGCGCCUCUGCCCGGCCGCCACCCCGUCUGGGAGGUGAGGAGCGUCUCUGCCCGGCCGCCCCGUCUCAGAAGUGAGGAGACCCUCCGCCCGGCAGCCGCCCCGUAUGAGAAGUGAGGAGCCUCUCCACCCGGCAGCCGCCCCGUCUGGGAAGUGAGGAGCAUCUCCGCCCGGCAGCCACCCCGUCCGGGAGGGAGGUGGGGGGUCAGCCCCCCGCCCGGCCAGCCGCCCCGUCCGGGAGGUGAGGGGCGCCUCUGCCCGGCCGCCCCUACUGGGAAGUGAGGAGCCCCUCUGCCCGGCCAGCCGCCCCGUCCGGGAGGGAGGUGGGGGGGUCAGGCCCCGCCCGGCCAGCCGCCCCGUCCGGGAGGGAGGUGGGGGGGUCAGCCCCCCGCCCGGCCAGCCGCCCCGUCCGGGAGGUGAGGGGCGCCUCUGCCCGGCCGCCCCAUCUGGGAGGUGAGGAGCCCCUCUGCCCGGCCACCACCCCGUCUGGGAGGUGUACCCAACAGCUCAUUGAGAGCGGGCCAGGAUGACAAUGGCGGCUUUGUGGAAUGGAGGGGGGGGAAAGGUGGGGAAAAGAUUGAGGAAUGGGAUGGUUGCCGUGUCUGUGUAGAGGGAGGUAGACAUGGGAGACUUUUCAUUUUGUUCUGUACUAAGAAAAAUUCUUCUGCCUUGGGAUCCUGUUGAUCUGUGACCUUACCCCCAACCCUGUGCUCUGAAACAUGUGCUGUGUCCACUCAGAGUUAAAUGGAUUAAGGGCGGUGCAAGAUGUGCUUUGUUAAACAGAUGCUUGAAGGCAGCAUGCUCCUUAAGAGUCAUCACCACUCCCUAAUCUCAAGUACCCAGGGACACAAACGGUGCAGAAGGCCGCAGGGUCCUCUGCCUAGGAAAACCAGAGACCUUUGUUCACUUGUUUAUCUGCUGACCUUCCCUCCACUAUUGUCCUAUGACCCUGCCAAAAGCCCCUCUGUGAGAAACACCCAAGAAUGAUCAAUAAAAAAAAAAUAAAUAAAAUAAAAUAAAAUUAAAUUAAAUUAAAAAAAAAAAAAAAGAAACCUAGGCUUGGUGCCAUGGCUCACACCUACAAUCCUAACACUUUGGGAGGCUGAGGUGGGAGGAUUGCUUGAGCCCAGGAGUUCAAGAUCACCCUGGGCAACAUAGUGAGACCCCUGCCUCUACAAAAAAAAAAAUAAAUAAAAAUAAAAAAAUUAAAAAAAUUUAAAAAAAUUAGGGUGGCUGGGCGCUGUGGCUCAUGCCUGUAAUGC
rnacentral:lncRNA from 1 species